GACGAACGCUGGCGGCGUGCCUAAUACAUGCAAGUAGAACGCUGAAGCUUGGUGCUUGCACCGAGCGGAUGAGUUGCGAACGGGUGAGUAACGCGUAGGUAACCUGCCUGGUAGCGGGGGAUAACUAUUGGAAACGAUAGCUAAUACCGCAUAAGAGUAGAUGUUGCAUGACAUUUGCUUAAAAGGUGCAAUUGCAUCACUACCAGAUGGACCUGCGUUGUAUUAGCUAGUUGGUGAGGUAACGGCUCACCAAGGCAACGAUACAUAGCCGACCUGAGAGGGUGAUCGGCCACACUGGGACUGAGACACGGCCCAGACUCCUACGGGAGGCAGCAGUAGGGAAUCUUCGGCAAUGGACGGAAGUCUGACCGAGCAACGCCGCGUGAGUGAAGAAGGUUUUCGGAUCGUAAAGCUCUGUUGUAAGAGAAGAACGAGUGUGAGAGUGGAAAGUUCACACUGUGACGGUAUCUUACCAGAAAGAGACGGCUAACUACGUG
rnacentral:rRNA from 1 species